AGGCCUAACACAUGCAAGUCGAGCGGUAGAGAGAAGCUUGCUUCUCUUGAGAGCGGCGGACGGGUGAGUAAUGCCUAGGAAUCUGCCUGGUAGUGGGGGAUAACGUUCGGAAACGGACGCUAAUACCGCAUACGUCCUACGGGAGAAAGCAGGGGACCUUCGGGCCUUGCGCUAUCAGAUGAGCCUAGGUCGGAUUAGCUAGUUGGUGGGGUAAUGGCUCACCAAGGCGACGAUCCGUAACUGGUCUGAGAGGAUGAUCAGUCACACUGGAACUGAGACACGGUCCAGACUCCUACGGGAGGCAGCAGUGGGGAAUAUUGGACAAUGGGCGAAAGCCUGAUCCAGCCAUGCCGCGUGUGUGAAGAAGGUCUUCGGAUUGUAAAGCACUUUAAGUUGGGAGGAAGGGUAGUAAAUUAAUACUCUGCUGUUUUGACGUUACCGACAGAAUAAGCACCGGCUAACUCUGUGCCAGCCGCCGCGGUAAUAAA
rnacentral:rRNA from 1 species